rnacentral:tmRNA from 1 species
GGGGAUGAACCGGUUUCGAUACGGGGGUGGACGGUUGUAAAUUGCAAGCCGAGCUGUCAUAACUCGUUAAACUAGGCAAAACUUUUAAUUGCCGAAAAAGUACCAGCAUUCGGUGGCUCCUACAACGCUUUACCGCUUGCGGUUUAGUCUCGUAACGAGCAACUAAAUGGCACUCAAAGAGUGUCUCGUCUAUCUCUUGUCCCUACCCGAUGGAGAAGAUUUAGAUGUCAUAUAAAGUCGGGUUGCUUUGAGAUGACACCGAUACUUCUCAACUAAGACUUAUCGGUUCGUUUGGGCUGACUUUGGCGGCGAACGACACCCAAAUUAAAUUCGAGUGCCACCUAAGCUUGUAGGCGUUUAUAGCCAGCUUUCGUAGACGCGAGUUCGACUCUCGCCAUCUCCAUCA